AUUGAACGCUGGCGGCAGGCCUCACACAUGCAAGUCGAACGAGUGGCGGACGGGUGAGUUAUGUCUGGGAAACUGCCUGAUGGAGGGGGCUAAAUACUGGAAACGGUAGCUAAUACCGCAUACCAUCAGAUGUGCCCUGAUGGGAUUAGCUUGUUGGUGGGGUAACGGCUCCCCAAGGCGACGAUCCCUAGCUGGUCUGAGAGGAUGACCAGCCACACUGGAACUGAGACACGGUACAGACGCCUAAGGGAGGCAGCAGUGGGGAAUAUUGCACAAGUGGCGCAAGCCUGAUGCAGUUGUGCCGCGUGUAUGAAGAAGGCCUUCGGAUUGUAAAGUACUUUCAGCAGGGAGGCGUUAUCCGCAGAAGAAGCACCGGCUAACUCCGUGCCAGCAGCCGCGGUAAUAC
rnacentral:rRNA from 1 species